UGCAUGUCGAGCGCUCUUCAGCUACGUAGAGAGCGCGGCGAACGGCACAAUAACACGUAGUUAACCUACCCUCGGGAUGGGAAUAACCCCGGGAAACUGGGAUUAAUGCCCACUAGAUGAUUAUACCUGGAAUGGCUUAUCAUCGAAAGAGUCUGGAAACAUGCUUCCAGCGUCGCCCGAGGAUGGGACCGCGUCCGAUCAGGUAGUUGGUGGGGUAAUGGCCUACCAAGCCUAUAACCGGUACGGGCCCUGAGAGGGGGAGCCCGGAGAUGGAAACUGAGAAAAGGUUCCAGGCCCUACGGGGUGCAGCAGGCGCGAAACCUCCACAAUGCGCGAAAGCGUGAUGGGGUUAUCCCGAGUGCCGUCCGAUGAGGAUGGCUUUUUAUCGGUGUAAGGAUCCGAUAGAAUAAAGGGGGGGCAAGACUGGUGUCAGCCGCCGCGGUAAUACCAGCCCCCUGAGUGGUAAGGACGAUUAUUUGGCCUAAAGCGUUCGUAGCCGGCUUAUCAAGUCUUUUGUUAAAUCCAACGAUUCAAUCGUUGGGCCGCAAGAGAUACUGUUAUGCUAGAGGACGGGAGAGGUCGACGGUAGUCCAGGGGUAGGGGUGAAAUCCUAUAAUCCUUGGAGGACCACCUGUGGCGAAGGCGGUCGACUAGAACGUGCCUGACGGUGAGGGACGAAAGCUGGGGGAGCGAACCGGAUUAGAUACCCGGGUAGUCCCAGCUGUAAACGAUGC
rnacentral:rRNA from 1 species